rnacentral:tRNA from 1 species
UCCCUGAUGGUCUAGUGGCUAGGAUUCUGGCACUUCCAAUGCAGGGGCCCCAGGUUUGAUUCCUGGUUAGGGAA